UUAGGAAUCUUCCGCAAUGGGCGCAAGCCUGACGGAGCGACGCCGCUUGGAGGAGGAAGCCCUUCGGGGUGUAAACUCCUGAACCCGGGACGAAAUCCCUGUGGAGGGGGCUGACGGUACCGGGGUAAUAGCGCCGGCCAACUCCGUGCCAGCAGCCGCGGUAAUACGGAGGGCGCGAGCGUUACCCGGAUUUACUGGGCGUAAAGGGCGUGUAGGCGGCCUGGGGCGUCCCAUGUGAAAGACCACGGCUCAACCGUGGGGGAGCGUGGGAUACGCUCAGGCUAGACGGUGGGAGAGGGUGGUGGAAUUCCCGGAGUAGCGGUGAAAUGCGCAGAUACCGGGAGGAACGCCGAUGGCGAAGGCAGCCACCUGGUCCAUUUGUGACGCUGAGGCGCGAAAGCGUGGGGAGCAAACCGGAUUAGAUACCCGGGUAGUCCACGCCCUAAACGAUGCGCGCUAGGUCUCUGGGUUUACUGGGGGCCGAAGCCAACGCGAUAAGCGCGCCGCCUGGGGAGUACGGCCGCAAGGCUG
rnacentral:rRNA from 1 species